CUAGAUAGCCUGGGUAACCCUAAGNCUUUAAAAAGCUAAGCAGAGUCAGCCCUGGUUUGUUCUUGGAUGGGAGACCACUAGGAACACCCAGGGGCAAUUUUUU
rnacentral:rRNA from 1 species